GUGAGUAACACGUAGGCAACCUGCCCAAAAGAGGGGGAUAACACUUGGAAACAGGUGCUAAUACCGCAUAACCAUGAACACCGCAUGAUGUUCAUGUAAAAGACGGCUUUUGCUGUCACUUUUGGAUGGGCCUGCGGCGUAUUAACUUGUUGGUGGGGUAACGGCCUACCAAGGUGAUGAUACGUAGCCGAACUGAGAGGUUGAUCGGCCACAUUGGGACUGAGACACGGCCCAAACUCCUACGGGAGGCAGCAGUAGGGAAUCUUCCACAAUGGACGAAAGUCUGAUGGAGCAACGCCGCGUGAAUGAAGAAGGCCUUCGGGUCGUAAAAUUCUGUUGUCAGAGAAGAACGUGCGUGAGAGUAACUGUUCACGUAUUGACGGUAUCUGACCAGAAAGCCACGGCUAACUACGUGCCAGCAGCCGCGGUAAUACGUAGGUGGCGAGCGUUGUCCGGAUUUAUUGGGCGUAAAGGGAACGCACGCGGUCUUUUAAGUCUGAUGUGAAAGCCUUCGGCUUAACCGAAGUAGUGCAUUGGAAACUGGAAGACUUGAGUGCAGAAGAGGAGAGUGGAACUCCAUGUGUAGCGGUGAAAUGC
rnacentral:rRNA from 1 species